CCGGCCCGCGUACAAGUCCCCUGGAACGGGGCGUCGCAGAGGGUGAGAAUCCCGUCUUUGACGCGGUCUGCCCGGUGCCAUGCGAUGCGCUCUCGAAGAGUCGAGUUGUUUGGGAAUGCAGCUCAAAAAGGGUGGUAAAUUCCAUCUAAAGCUAAAUACUGGCGAAAGACCGAUAGCGAACAAGUACCGUGAGGGAAAGAUGAAAAGCACUUUGGAAAGAGAGUCAAACAGUACGUGAAAUUGUUGAAAGGGAAACGCUUGAAGUCAGUCGCGUCUCCCGGGAUUCAGCAGGUUCCUUCGCGGGACAGGCGCAUUUCCCGGGGUUUUGACGGGCCAGCGUCGAUUUCGACCGUCGUAAAAAGGCGAAGAGGAACGUGGCACCUUUCGGGGUGUGUUAUAGCCUCGCGUCGUAUGCGAACGGUUUAGGGAUCGAGGAACGCAGCGCGCCUUUUUCAUUAAGGGCCGGGGUUCGCCCACGUAACGCGCUUAGGACGCUGGCGUAAUGGCUUUAAGCGACCCGUCUUGAAACACGGACCAAGGAGUCUAACAUGCU
rnacentral:rRNA from 1 species